UAUAUAUAUAUAGGUGUGUGUGUGUGUGUAUAGUAUAUGUUUAAUAAUUAUUUGUGCAUAAUCGUUUAAGUUAUAUCUGUUUGGACAUUGACUGAACCAGUGUUGAAAUCAUUGUAUUAGCUGGAUGUCUUCAUAAACAAUCUUAGACUAGGUGACAUAGGACCAGAUUUCCAUUGUGUGUGUUUAUUUUAGUCAUGUAUGGGUGAUACUGAAACUGAUCAUACACUGUUAUGCUCAGAAUUUGUUUUAGCUUAUAUUAUUAUUAAUAGAAGCAUUUUAUCUUUACAUUUAAGAUUUGAUUUGAGUUUUUGUGGGGCAGAAGGAUUACAGUAGUGUGACUGUAACUUUGCCUUUGUGCCCCAAGCCAGUAUCUGCUUUGAGUCAUAUAAAUACUGGUUCACUGGGGCAUUCUGGGAAACUUGUAUUUCAACCUGUCUUUUCUUUCUGUGCCACUGGUUCCAGCACCAUCCACAUCUAUCAUGAUUUGUGUUUUGUCAACGAGUUGACACUUGUUUACGUUUGCUGUUUUAAUUCCUGAGUGCAAUGUACACUUGUGCUCACGUACAAAACGAAUGCCCUACAGAAACGACGGCACGUUUAAAGAUCAUUCCUUACGAUUAAUCAUCUUUCCUCAAAGCUACAGUCUUAAACCAUAUGGUCUGGUUCCCUGUACACACAUUAUGCCUUAUUCAAAGAAAAACAUUUUUUAAUGAAACAACAAGUGACACAAGUCUGGAAACUAAGAUAAAUGUAUCAUUGUCUCAUGAUUAAAAAACGGAUUAUUUCACAUUUAGCUUGAGAGAGAGGCACAUUCUCUUGUUUAAUCUGCCAACCACAGAUAUGAUGGAACUGAAACCACUAAUGAUACCACAUUGAGAUCAGUCAGAACCUGUCCAGUUGUAAAUUAUGUAAAAUACUGAAUUGUUUGAUGGUCUCAUGAUGAAAAUGAAGUCUAUUACAGAGCUGGGUUUUAUUUUAUCCCUGGUUUGAGCUGUAUAAAGCAAGCCUAAACAGAUACAUGAAAGUUAACUUGAACAUUAAGGGAUGAUGAUGAUGAUGAUUUUCACAGACAAUUUCCCCCCACUAUUUCGACUUUGUCUUGGACUAAAUGCUGUUAAUGAGGAUUUCUAACAAGAAGCGUUGUUCAUGUACAGUGGUAUCAGGGCUUAAUGUGUGUCUGGAUAAAACAGGCUCCUAAAAUGUAUUAUUAAUAUUGUGUUACAAUGUUGAAUGUCAUUUCCAAAUUUUAUCCUUAUGCUUUAACUGUGCUAAAGGGCUCCAGUUGUGAAGAAUCCAUUAGUUUUUGAGAUUUAGAGAUCACAUUUUUGUGUUCGGACAGACAGGCAGCCUCUCUGUGUAAUGGCCAUUGUUUAGAGGCACAGACAAACACUUUUUAUUCCUUCAACCCAGAAGGGUAGCUCAAGUUUGGACCCUUUUUUAAUGUAAAAUAAUAAUAAUAAAAAAAAAUCUCUCUCUUACCCUUCA
ensembl:lncRNA